GAUGAACGCUAGCGGCAGGCUUAACACAUGCAAGUCGAGGGGCAGCAUGAUUGAACUUUCGGGUUCGGUUGAUGGCGACCGGCGCAAGGGUGCGUAACGCGUGAGCAACUUGCCCGUUUCAGGGGGAUAACCGGUGGAAACGCCGACUAAUACCCCAUGGCAUCAUAUUGAGGCAUCUUUAUAUGAUUAAAGAAUUUCGGAAACGGAUAGGCUCGCGUGACAUUAGCUAGAUGGCGGGGUAACGGCCCACCAUGGCGACGAUGUCUAGGGGUUCUGAGAGGAAGGUCCCCCACACUGGAACUGAGACACGGUCCAGACUCCUACGGGAGGCAGCAGUGAGGAAUAUUGGUCAAUGGUCUGACGACUGAACCAGCCAUGCCGCGUGAAGGUCACGGCCCUAUGGGUCUUAAACUUCUUUUGUGAGGGAGCAAUAAGGCGCACGUGUGCGUCGAUGAGAGUACCUCGCGAAUAAGCAUCGGCCAACUCCGUG
rnacentral:rRNA from 1 species